rnacentral:rRNA from 1 species
CGUUAUCCGGAAUUAUUGGGCGUAAAGCGCGCGUAGGCGGUUUUUAAGUCUGAUGUGAAAGCCCACGGCUCAACCGUGGAGGGUCAUUGGAAACUGGAAAACUUGAGUGCAGAAGAGGAAAGUGGAAUUCCAUGUGUAGCGGUGAAAUGCGCAGAGAUAUGGAGGAACACCAGUGGCGAAGGCGACUUUCUGGUCUGUAACUGACGCUGAUGUGCGAAAGCGUGGGGAUCAAACAGGAUUAGAUACCCUGGUAGUCAAGGGCG